UGAGGAGACCCACCAGUCGGUCGUACGGGGCGCUCUUAAGCGGGCCGAAAAACUUCUUCCUAUCCGCGGUGUAAUCGCAAUAAUUUGAUAUCGCUGAUCCGAUUACGCGUCAUAAGCCGCUAUCGAGGAGCCCAGCCGGCGGCCCCGGCCCGGUUCUCGCUGAACGCGUCGCCGACGAGAGAGCGGCGUGUGCCGCUUCUACCCUUUCGCGUCUAUCCCGGGACUUACCCAAAAGGGCCCAGGAAAUCGCGCGCGAUCAACGUGGGGGUCCCCGGAUCAAUCCGCGUAGGAUCUCUUGCUCCAUCAUCGUCACAUCUCUCUCGCAACGAGUGUUUUCUAUUUUUUUUUUAUUUUUUUUUCCCCCUAAAGAGUUCGUUUACGCGAGAGACAUUAUUCAUCCCUCUAUCCCGGGGACGGAUCGUCAAAUGCGGUAGAUCUCUUUCUGUGCGCGUCGCGACGCAGAUUUUUAUUAAGGGAAUUUCCUCUUUCUUCCCGUUUUCUCUCCCGGACGACGAAGUAGUGGAGUAAAAGUCAAGUGGGUUCGAUUUCUCUAUACAUCAUCCAUGGACUACUCGUAUCUGAACCAGGCCGCGGCCGCGGCGGCCGCCGGCUUCGAGGCGUCCAGCUGCGCCCUGGCCGCCGGCGAGAUGCAAUGCAGCUACGGCGAUCUGAGUUCGUGCUCGCAGAUGAGCCAGGCGGCUUAUCGCUACACCGCGGCACGGGCCGCCGGCUAUCCCGGAAACGCGGCCGCCGCCGGCGCCGCCGGCGGCGGUACACCGCUUACGGCCCAUCACACAGCGCACUCCCACACCCACGGCCACCACGGGGCCCACUCGACCCCGUGCUCCGUCAUGGCCGCCAGGUCCCAGGAAGUCCACCGGCACGCCGCCUCCAUCUUCCCCUCGGCUAUCAAUCUUCAGAGUGGUCUGGGAUAUAAAGCUUAUUCAGGGCAUGAUGGUCUCGCGGAGAAGAGAAAACAACGUCGGAUACGAACAACAUUUACGUCAGCCCAGCUGAAAGAACUGGAACGUGCAUUCCAGGAAACGCAUUACCCAGAUAUCUACACCAGAGAGGAAAUCGCUAUGAAGAUCGAUCUGACGGAAGCCAGAGUACAAGUGUGGUUCCAGAAUCGGCGCGCCAAGUUCCGCAAGCAGGAGCGACUCGCCCAGCAGAAGUCGACGUCACAGAGCGGCCUCGGGGCCGACAGCGGCGCGUCCAGCCCGGUGACCGGAACCGUGAAAGCGGAAGGACGCUCGCCCAGGAGUCCGGCGACGCCGCCCGGCAGCUCGAACAGCGUUCUCUCGUCGAACGAGAUCAAACCGAUCGCUAACCAGAGCCUGGUGAACGUGAAGCACCACGCGGACGGCGCCGGAGACGGCGGCUCACCGAACGCUCGCGGAACCAGCGGCGCCGGCAGCGCCACCUGGGGCUCCUGCAGCCCCAGGCCCUUCUCGGCCGCUUUGCCGCCAUACCUGCUGGACCCGCUGCCUCUGAAGACCGCGAAUCUCUAUUAAACCUUCCUCGGCCUAUGGCCGUGUGUAAAUAUAACUGAGAGCACGUCCGUGUUCGGAGAGCGUUCGCAGAGUUUUUCUCUCUCCCCAGGUAACAAGCUGACGUCAUCGACGUCAAAAUGACGUCAUAAACGUCAAAAUGACGUCUUUUUGACGUCGAUGACGCCAUUUUGACGUCAGCUUGUUACCUGGGUCCCCUGGACUCCCCGAUUUCCCGCACGCGAAUCGAUACAAAAAAAAAAAAAAGAACCAGAGGUAUCCUCGAGAAGGAUCCUCGAUAGGACGCGCGCCGCACAUAUUUUUGACAAAGAUACUUUAGGCAGUCGGGAAAACGGGCAGAUGUGGAUUGCUUGCUUGGAGGCAGCGUCUGCUGAGGUCUACGUUUCCAGCUUGAUUAGAAGGCAGAGUGUAAUUCGGAUGACGCCAGGUUGAGUCAGUAGAAUCAAGAUCGAGAACUCUUGUUGCAGCUGUGAUUUGUUAAUUGAUCUUCAAUUCGGCGAAAAGAACAAAUUUAGACUAUACUCAGCAAAGUCUAUAAAGAAGGUCUUAUAUCGAGAAUCGCUGUAACGCGAGAGCGAGAGAGAGAGAGAGAAAGAGAGACGAAUAAAUGAAAUUCGCGUUAAUUCGCAGAUCGGCGGAAUUCCUCUUUAGGAAAUUAAGAUAAAUACAUACCGUCCUGUAUGUCUCGUACCAAGAAGAGCGAGGGUACCUGUCUUAUCACAAUAUAUACGAUGUGGACAAUUUCGGCGACGGUGUGACUCGUUCGUCCUGCGCCGAUUAACGAGCGCACCUUAUUCUGCAUAUGUAUAGUUUACGACUGAAUCUAUUUUAUAGUGAGAUGUAUAAAUGUACAUUAGUUAAGACGAAGGUAUGUAUAGUUCACUCAAAAGCAUUUUUCUUUUCUUUUAUCGAGACUUUCGUCAAAUCCGCCUUAUCUUUAGAGGACCGGCCAUCGUAUCUCAGUUACAUAUAUAGCCGAAUGUUUAUUACGAUAAUAUUAAAUUCGAUAUUUUAAAUUAUUGCUCUGUUGCAAUUUCUCACGAAACAAAAAAAUUAAUUUGUGUUCCGAUAUAAUAUAUUAUAAAAUUUCAUAAAGUAUUAAAAUCUGAUUUUAUGAUCGGGAGAAAUCGGCAUCGGAUAUUUAAUAACGAAUUAGAAUUUAUUAUUAUUCAUGAACGCAAUUAAAAAUCUAGAGAUAACUGCAAAAAAGAGACAAUACGCUUUGUAUUUUCGCAGGAAGGGCGUUAGAGUCCUCUGAAGAUUAACGGCAAUAGCAUACGGAAAUUUCUAUCGUGUCCCGAGGCAAUCCAUAUCCCAGUUCGAUAACGAAUGUGAUUUUUUAACACGAGACACUUUUACAAUACUGCGUAUUACUGGCGCGUAGCAAGCCGCACAUUUUCACUCGUCCGGGAAAGACGCGGAUUAUCGAUUACACGCGACGGCUACGAGAAGGGAAAGGCUCAUCUCCGCAAGCCAGGAAGCGUUCGUGAACUCUGAACAGCUUCGUUGCUCCCGCCAUUAUUGUUAAGAUUAACGAAUGGUAAUUAUCGAUAUGUGUGAACCGGAAACUUGUACAGUUGUUGCUAUAAAUAUAUGAAAUUAGUGUUUUACACCAUA